rnacentral:lncRNA from 1 species
GUCUGGCUUCUGAUUUAGCCCCUCCUUAUUGGUCUUAGAGGUGGGAGAGGCAAGGAUGAGGAGGAGGAAGAGAAGAGCGGGGAGGUGGUGAAAUGCUAGGGUUGGUUGUCGGUUCUGCUUCGUGGGUCACGAAGGUGGGGUUUUCUGCUUGAGGGACAGUUGGAGAGGGAGAGGAAAGCUUUGGAAACAGACUGUGGUGGCCGCACUCGCAAGCACCCUUUUCACGGGGUGUCCACAGUGGUGGAUUCUCAAGCUGCGGGGGCGCGGCUGGAAAGAGGUUUGGAGGCAUCCUGCGCCCAUGAAGCCAGCGUGCUCACCCCAGGUCUUUGUUUCAAAAACCCUGAUGGUGAUAUUGCUGCUGCUUGCUGCCCAGCAUGUUUAAGAAACCUGAUUCCAAGACAGGAACUUUGAACCUUCAAUUCAACCACGUUUGGCAUCACAAGACUCGAUGGGCCUGGCUUCCACUUGCAUUGAAUGUUUUGAUGAAAGCUCCCUCAUGGAAUGGCAUGAAACACAGAGCUUUUCUCCAGCUGUUUCAAGAUGAUCGUUUGUCACCUGAUAAAUGUACACUGACAACUCUAAAGACCACAAAAGAAAGUAUUUACUAGUGAUCAAAGCACAAGAAAACUACAUUUAAAGGAAGCAAGGACCCCAGUUUUUGGUUUGAAAUG